rnacentral:rRNA from 1 species
CCUACGGGGGGCAGCAGUGAGGAAUAUUGGUCAAUGGACGAGAGUCUGAACCAGCCAAGUAGCGUGAAGGAUGACUGCCCUAUGGGUUGUAAACUUCUUUUAUAUGGGAAUAAAACGUUCCACGUGUGGGAUUUUGUAUGUACCAUAUGAAUAAGGAUCGGCUAACUCCGUGCCAGCAGCCGCGGUAAUACGGAGGAUCCGAGCGUUAUCCGGAUUUAUUGGGUUUAAAGGGAGCGUAGGUGGAUUGUUAAGUCAGUUGUGAAAGUUUGCGGCUCAACCGUAAAAUUGCAGUUGAAACUGGCAGUCUUGAGUACAGUAGAGGUGGUCGGAAUUCGUGGUGUAGCGGUGAAAUGCUUAGAUAUCACGAAGAACUCCGAUUGCGAAGGCAGUUCACUGGACUGCAACUGACACUGAGGCUCGAAAGUGUGGGUAUCAAACAGGAUUAGAUACCCCUGUAGUC